AUUGAACGCUGGCGGCAGGCCUAACACAUGCAAGUCGAGCGGAGCGGCGGACGGGUGAGUAAUGCCUAUGAAUCUGACUGGUCGCGGGGGAUAAGGUUCGGUAACGGGCGCUAAUACCGCUUCCUAUCACAUGAGCAUAGGUCGGAUUAGCUAGUUGGUGGGGUAAAGGCUUACCAAGGCGACGACCCGUAACUGGUCUGAGAGGAUGAUCAGUCACACUGGAACUGAGACACGGCCCAGACUCCUACGGGAGGCAGCAGUGGGGAAUAUUGGACAAUGGGCGAAAGCCUGAUGCAGCCAUGCCGCGUGUAUGAAGAAGGUCUUCGGAUUGUAAAGCACUUUAAGUUGGGAGGCGUUACCCACAGAAGAAGCACCGGCUAACUUCGUGCCAGCAGCCGCGGUAAUAC
rnacentral:rRNA from 1 species